rnacentral:rRNA from 1 species
GGACUACCCGGGUAUCUAAUCCUGUUUGCUUCCCACGCUUUCGUGCAUGAGCGUCAGUGCAGGCCCAGGGGAUUGCCUUCGCCAUCGGUGUUCCUCCGCAUAUCUACGCAUUUCACUGCUACACGCGGAAUUCCAUCCCCCUCUGCCGCACUCCAGCCGUGCAGCCACAAAUGCAGUUCCCAGGUUGAGCCCGGGGAUUUCACAUCUGUCUUACACGACCGCCUGCGCACGCUUUACGCCCAGUAAUUCCGACUAACGCUCGCACCCUACGUAUUACCGCGGCUGCUGGCAC